rnacentral:lncRNA from 1 species
UUGUAUUAAAUUUUCUCCCUUUCCUUCAAUGACAAACUAUUAAUUGGUGUCAGAUAAUUGGAAGGUUUAUGAGAAGAGUCCACCAUCUUGUCAGGAACUGCUCCAUAUUUAAUAAAAUAAAUAAAUGAGAAAAAAAGAAAUUACUCAUUAUGAAAUUUAAAUUCUUCACCUCUGCGGAGGAAUAAUUAACUGGAGGAAUUCCAUGUGAACUGAAACAAUCUCCAGAAAUUGAUGCAAAGUGAAAGGAGCAGAACCAGGAGAACAUUAUGCACAGAGACUGAUAUA